CCCUUAACCGACGGAGCCACCCAGGCGUCCCUCAUUCAUCUUUUUAGACGCCACAUUCUUGAUAAUGUGACUCAGGAACGCGGCUGCCACACUGGCCCUGCCCUAAACUCUCCUGAGAAGCUAUCUCAAGUAAUGAAGCAAAGGGAAAAAAUUAGUUUUCUGUCCUAGGUCACAAGUCCCUAAACUCUUCCUAACUUUAUAGUUAAACCUACCCCUAAAAUCCCACCACCAUUUCUCACCUUUGCUGCAAGUGCACACAUUCACUUCCGACGCCCUAAGCCCAAGGCCAGGUCUCGUUGUUCUUUGUUUCCCAGCCAGCGGCCAGGGUCACGCCUGUCAACCGCAGUAAUCACGCGAGGACUGGAAGUCACGGACUACUUUGAAUCAAGCCAGGCAAAUGGGGCUUGUGCAAGACUCAACCUAUUCGUGGAUCCGGGCACCUUAGCAAAGUAGAGCCUGAACUGGCAACUGUGAUGUAGUUUUCUGAAAUGUGAUUUCUCAAACUCCUUUAGCUAUCUGCCGUAAGGUGCAUUUGGGUUUUCUUUCUAGCCCUAUUGUUUUAUAAUUGGAUGCCUUUUCCUGCCUGAUAAAUUCAAGUUUUCGGGAACUUAAGCACUUAAUACUUUAGAUUUCUCAGAAAGGCAGCUUAUUAGGAAACCUCGUGUUUACUCAAGUAUGCGAGAAGUCCACUUGGCCAGCAGGCUACAUGCGAUUCCUUGAAAUUCUGUUCCAUGGACGCCAGGGAGCUAAAUGUAACAUUUAGUCAUCAAUAGGAUAAUUUAGGCUCAUUCUUUCUACUUGCCUUCUUAAGAAGGGAUUGGAGUUCAUGCUGGUAUUCUCUAGAAAAUGGAAGUGACUUCCCGCCCUGUAAAGAUGGCUUUCCAUACACCGUGGACUCUCACACAAGCCUCUUUAUCGUCACACACAUGAAAGCAACAUGCAAAUGCUGAGGCUGGGACCAACGGCGGGAAGCCUUACAAUCAAGAAUGAGAGAAAACUACACACUUAACUACCAAUGAAAUGCCAAGCAGAAACGAAGAUGUCCUCACCAGACGAUGGUCUUGAAGACCAGAAGCUCAGCUCCACAGCCCAGAACUUAGACACAACUCCUAAGGAAAUUAGGAAAACCUCAAAUUAACUAGAAUUCCUAUUCUGCUGUGCCAGUAGCAUGGAAACUCAAGAAAGAAAUUAAAUUUAAAAAAUCACAUUUCUUGCACCCUGAAAUCAAUACCUACAAUAUUGCCCAACUGGGGAAGCAGGACAUUUCCAUAAAAAGAGAGGCACUGUCAUUGGCUAGUAGAUACGGGGAGUAAAUAAGCUACAUAGCAGACACUUUCUACAGAAAUUCAAGGCUUCUGCAGCCCACAGAGGUGGAGAGAACAUCAUGGAUGGCGGCAGCCUUCUUGCAAUAUUAACCGACCAGAGUGGUUAAGGUGAGGCAUAGUGCCCAACAAACCGGUUCUGGGAGUUGACUGAGCUCCGCCGGGCGAUUCUCACCAGGAUCUCUUUACAGUUGCAAUCAGCAUGUGAGUGGAGCUGGAAUCAUCUGGAAGUCCACUUCACACACUUGUUCGGGGCCCGGACUGGAGAGAUCCAAAGAGCUGGAAGCUAGGGCUGGAAGACAGAUGGUUCCCUGGACAUCUUUCUCUAUUUCGAUGAGGUCUCUCUAUGUGGUCAUUCCACUAUGGUGGCUUCAGAGUAGCUGGACUUUUUACGUGGCAUCUCAGCACCCCAAAAGCACAGGUCCCAGGAGAGAGAGAGAGAGACAGAGAGACAGAGAGAGACUCUAGCAGAAUGGGUGCUGUGCUCUUACAUAAUCACAUAAACUUCAUCAUGUACAUCCCAUUCAUUACCUUUGCCACCUUCCAUUGGUUAGAAGCACAUCACGGGUCCCACCCACACUUGCGGGGAGGGGAAUGACACAGGGUCGUGACUCCUAGGAGCAGAGAUCGUGGGGCCACCCUAAAGUCAGUCUGCCACACACAGCGAAGUUGAGCAAUGUCCCCCUGGUCACACAGCUAGUGGGCAGCACAAACAGUUUUAGACCUCCAGCAGUCUGACUCCAGAGUCCCCGUUCUCAAUUAUUACACUAGAGGGACACUCCAUAGGAGUGAAUAUUUCUUAAUUGUUAUAAUUCUUAUCUAUCUAUCUAUCUAUCUAUCUAUCUAUCUAUCUAUUUAUCUUGAGAGACAGAGAGC